CGCCAUUGCAGUCGAGCGCGGGAAGCAGGCAGAUCCUCUUCGGAGGUGACGCCUGUGGAACGAGCGGCGGACGGGUGAGUAACACGUGGGCAACCUGCCUGUAAGAUUGGGAUAACCCCGGGAAACCGGGGCUAAUACCGGAUAAUACUUUUCGUUGCAUAACGAGAAGUUGAAAGGCGGCUUUUAGCUGUCACUUACAGAUGGGCCCGCGGCGCAUUAGCUAGUUGGUAAGGUAACGGCUUACCAAGGCGACGAUGCGUAGCCGACCUGAGAGGGUGAUCGGCCACACUGGGACUGAGACACGGCCCAGACUCCUACGGGAGGCAGCAGUAGGGAAUCUUCCGCAAUGGACGAAAGUCUGACGGAGCAACGCCGCGUGAGUGAUGAAGGUUUUCGGAUCGUAAAACUCUGUUGUCAGGGAAGAACAAGUGCCGUUCGAAUAG
rnacentral:rRNA from 1 species